UCCCUGCAAGAUGUGUGUGACCUACAUUGGGCAGAGCUUGUUGCCGUCAGUGACAGACAACUCGCCAUGGUGCUUAUUGGUUCUAUGAGGUGUGUAACAUAAGCGGCAGUAGAAAAUUGCACUGGCUGCUGCCUGCAUCACUGUUCAUUUGUGCAUCAGCGUAAUGGACCGGUUGCUACGUGAUGGGUGGAUGAGGAGUUUUAAAUCUGGCACUAUUUCAUGUGGAUCAAUAUUGAGAAGUGGCAGCAGUGUUCACCACGUCUUUCCGUACGGCACAAAUACCUUAUCGUGUGGACCUGUCACAGCUCGCAGUCGUCUGAGGUUACCGGGAGGCGAAGAUGCAGUACACGGCGUACAGGAGGCGCCCUUUGAUAAGUUACUAGUCAAAGAUUUGCAUUCGUGCAGUUCUUCUUAUUGUAAUGCACAAUUUCAGAUAAAAAAUUUGUGGUUUUUGAAAAAUUUGCAGAAUAUUUGUGUGAACUUGGUAGAUUAUGUUUGAGGAAAUGCUGAUAUCGAUUCAGCUGAGGCAGUAAAUUUAGGGAA